ensembl:lncRNA
GGGAGGUGGAGGCGGGUGGAUCACUUGAGGCCAGGCAUUCAAGACCCGCCUGGCCAACAUGGUGAAACCUCAUCUCUACUAAAACUACAAAAUUUAACUAGGCGUGGUGGCGUGCACCUGUAGUUUCAGCUACAUGGGUGGCUGAGGCAGGAGAAUCGCUUGAACCGGGGAAAUGGUGUGAGCCAAGAUCGUGCCACUGCACUGCAGCCUGGGUGACAGAACGAGACUCCGUCUAAAAAAAAAAAAAAAAAAAAGAGGAGAAAGGGGAAAAGGGGAGACACCAGAAGGAUGAUGCUAUUGAUUUGGCCAACUAAGGGUAACCUAUCCAGGAACUCCCACCUGUGAGGGCUAGUGUUUGUGGGCCAAAAUUUUAACCCUAUAGGUGGAGCCUGGAACAUUUAGGUUAUAUAGUCAUGUGUUGCCGAACGACUGGAAUGUGUUUUGAGAAAUGUGUUGUUAGGCGAUUUUAUCAUUGUGUGAACAUCAUAGAGUGUACUUACACAGCCUAGAUGGUAUAGGCUACUGCACACCUAGACUAUAUGGACAACCCGGUGGUCCUAGGCUCCAAGCCUACAUGGCAUGUUACUGUACUGGAUACUAUAUGCAAUUGUAACACAAGUCUAAGUAUUUGUAUAUCUAAACUUGGAGAAGGUAUGGUAAAAAACACAGUACUAAAGGAAAAAAAAAGUUAUAAGAUAAAAAUGGUACAUGUGUAUUGGGUACUCACCAUGAGUGGAGUUUGUAGGACUGGAAGUUGCUCUGGGUGAGUGAGUGAGUGAGUGAGUGAAUACGAAGGCCUAGGAAUUAUUGUACGCUUUAUAAACACUGUAUACUUAGGCUACUCUUAAUUUAUAAAAAUUAUUAUUAUAUAUAUUUUUUGAGAUGGAGUCUCCCUUUGUGGCACAGGCUGGAAGGUUGCAGUGGGCUGAGAUCGCGCCACUGCACUCUAGCCUGGGUGACAGAGCAAGAUUCUGUCUUAAAAAAACAAUAAAAAAGACAAACACACACAUUAGCCUAGGUCUAUACAGGGUAAGGAUCGUCAAGAUUACUGUCUUCCACCUCUGCAACUUUUCCCACUAGAAGGUCUUUGGAGCAGCAACACGCCUGGAGCUGUCAUCUCCUAUGAUAACAAUACCUUCUUCUGGAAUAUUACUUAAAGAAUUGCUGGAGGCUGUUUUACAGUUAACUUAAAAAAAAAUUUAAGUAGAAGGGGUAUACUCUAAAAUAAUGAUAAAAAGUGUAGCAUAAUAAAUACAUCAACCAGUAACGUAGUAAUUUAUUAUUGUUAUUCAGUGCUAUGUACAGUAUGUAAUUGUGUAUGCUGUACUUUUAUAUGACUGGCAGCACAGUGAGUUUGUCUAUACCAGCAUCACCACAAACAUACAUGGUGGUUUGGCAUUGCUAUGUCUGUGACAUCACUGGGCAAAAGGAAUUUUUCAGCUCCAUUGUCAUCUUAUGGGACCACUGUUGUAUAAGUGGUCUAUGGUUGACCGAAAUGUCCUUAUGUGGCACAUGACUGUGUUACUGUUUAUUCAUCCUAUUCUAUCCCGGGCA